rnacentral:rRNA from 1 species
CCCUUAGAUGUCCGGGGCCGCACGCGCGCUACACUGAAGGAAUCAGCGUGGCUUUCUCCCUGAUCCGAAAGGGUUGGGAAACCCGUUGAAUCUCCUUCGUGAUAGGGAUUGGGGCUUGAAAUUGUUCCCCAUGAACGAGGAAUUCCCAGUAAGCGCGAGUCAUAAGCUCGCGUUGAUUACGUCCCUGCCCUUUGUACACACCGCCCGUCGCUACUACCGAUUGAACGGUUUAGUGAGGGCCUCGGAUUGGUCUCGGCCCGCUCUUUACCGGGCGGCGCCGUUGGUCGAGAAGACGCUCGAACUUGAUCGUUUAGAGGAAGUAAAAGUCGUAACA